GACGAACCGUCCUAACGUUGUUCGGAUUCACUGGGCUUAAAGGGCGCGUAGGCGGGCCAGAGGGUCCGGGGUGAAAUCUUUCGGCUUAACCGGAAAAGUGCCUCGGAAACCGCUGGCCUGGAGGGAGGUAGGGGCAUGUGGAACUUCUGGUGGAGCGGUGAAAUGCGUUGAUAUCAGAAGGAACACCGGUGGCGAAGGCGGGUCUCUGGGCCGAUACUGACGCUGAGGAGCGAAAGCGUGGGGAGCGAACAGG
rnacentral:rRNA from 1 species